CAGGUGCUGCAUGGCUGUCGUCAGCUCGUGUCGUGAGGUGUUGGGUUAAGUCCCGCAACGAGCGCAACCCUUGUCUUUAGUUGCCAGGCAGUUCGGCUGGGCACUCUAAAGGGACUGCCGGUGUUAAACCGGAGGAAGGUGGGGAUGACGUCAAGUCCUCAUGGCCUUUAUGACCAGGGCUACACACGUACUACAAUGGCCGAUACAAAGGGCAGCGACACUGCGAGGUGAAGCCAAUCCCGUAAAAUCGGUCUCAGUCCGGAUUGGAGUCUGCAACUCGACUCCAUGAAGUUGGAAUCGCUAGUAAUCGUGGAUCAGCAUGGGCCACGGUGAAUACGUUCCCGGGCCUU
rnacentral:rRNA from 1 species